rnacentral:rRNA from 1 species
CUUUUGACCUCGGAUCAGGUAGGGAUACCCGCUGAACUUAAGCAUAUCAAUAAGCGGAGGAAAAGAAACCAACAGGGAUUGCCCUAGUAACGGCGAGUGAAGCGGCAACAGCUCAAAUUUGAAAUCUGGCUCUUUUAGAGUCCGAGUUGUAAUUUGCAGAGGGCGCUUUGGCUUUGGCAGCGGUCCAAGUUCCUUGGAACAGGACGUCACAGAGGGUGAGAAUCCCGUACGUGGUCGCUGGCUAUUGCCGUGUAAAGCCCCUUCGACGAGUCGAGUUGUUUGGGAAUGCAGCUCUAAAUGGGAGGUACAUUUCUUCUAAAGCUAAAUAUUGGCCAGAGACCGAUAGCGCACAAGUAGAGUGAUCGAAAGAUGAAAAGCACUUUGGAAAGAGAGUCAAACAGCACGUGAAAUUGUUGAAAGGGAAGCGCUUGCAGCCAGACUUGCUUACAGUUGCUCAUCCGGGCUUUUGCCCGGUGCACUCUUCUGUAGGCAGGCCAGCAUCAGUUUGGGCGGUAGGAUAAAGGUCUCUGUCACGUACCUCUCCUUCGGGGAGGCCUUAUAGGGGAGACGACAUACUACCAGCCUGGACUGCAGG